CAGUCGCCGCGGGAAUACGGAGGGUGCAAGCGUUAAUCGGAAUUACUGGGCGUAAAGCGCACGCAGGCGGUCUGACAAGUCAGAUGUGAAAUCCCCGGGCUUAACCUGGGAACUGCAUUUGAAACUGUCAGGCUGGAGUCUUGUAGAGGGGGGUGGAAUUCCAGGUGUAGCGGUGAAAUGCGUAGAGAUCUGGAGGAAUACCGGUGGCGAAGGCGGCCCCCUGGACAAAGACUGACGCUCAGGUGCGAAAGCGUGGGGAGCAAACAGGAUUAGAUACCCGUGUAGUCCCUGUCUCUUAUAC
rnacentral:rRNA from 1 species